AACGAACGCUGGCGGCAGGCUUAACACAUGCAAGUCGAGCGCCCCGCAAGGGGAGCGGCAGACGGGUGAGUAACGCGUGGGAACGUACCCUUUGCUACGGAAUAGCUCCGGGAAACUGGAAUUAAUGCCGAAUGUGCCCUUCGGGGGAAAGAUUUAUCGCCUUUAGAGCGGCCCGCGUCUGAUUAGCUAGUUGGUGAGGUAAUGGCUCACCAAGGCGACGAUCAGUAGCUGGUCUGAGAGGAUGACCAGCCACAUUGGGACUGAGACACGGCCCAAACUCCUACGGGAGGCAGCAGUGGGGAAUCUUGCGCAAUGGGCGAAAGCCUGACGCAGCCAUGCCGCGUGGAUGAUGAAGGUCUUAGGAUUGUAAAAUCCUUUCACCGGUGAAGAUAAUGACUGUAGCCGGAGAAGAAGCCCCGGCUAACUUCGUGCCAGCAGCCGCAGUAAUAC
rnacentral:rRNA from 1 species